rnacentral:rRNA from 1 species
CGAACGGGGAGCAGCCCGGAGUCUGAAUCAGCUUGUGUGUUAGUGGAACGGUCUGGAAAGUCCGACGGUACAGGGUGAUAGUCCCGUACACGAAAAUGCACAGGUUGUGAACUCGAAGAGUAGGGCGGGACACGUGGUAUCCUGUCUGAAUAUGGGGGGACCAUCCUCCAAGGCUAAAUACUCCUGACUGACCGAUAGUGAACCAGUACCGUGAGGGAAAGGCGAAAAGAACCCCGGCGAGGGGAGUGAAAAAGAACCUGAAACCGUGUACGUACAAGCAGUGGGAGCCUCUUUAUGGGGUGACUGCGUACCUUUUGUAUAAUGGGUCAGCGACUUAUAUUCUGUAGCAAGGUUAACCGUAUAGGGGAGCCGAAGGGAAACCGAGUCUUAACUGGGCGUUAAGUUGCAGGGUAUAGACCCGAAACCCGGUGAUCUAGCCAUGGGCAGGUUGAAGGUUGGGUAACACUAACUGGAGGACCGAACCGACUAAUGUUGAAAAAUUAGCGGAUGACCUGUGGCUGGGGGUGAAAGGCCAAUCAAACCGGGAGAUAGCUGGUUCUCCCCGAAAGCUAUUUAGGUAGCGCCUCGUGAAUUCAUCUUCGGGGGUAGAGCACUGUUUCGGCUAGGGGGCCAUCCCGGCUUACCAACCCGAUGCAAACUACGAAUACCGAAGAAUGUUAUCACGGGAGACACACGGCGGGUGCUAACGUCCGUCGUGAAGAGGGAAACAACCCAGACCGCCAGCUAAGGUCCCAAAGUCAUGGUUAAGUGGGAAACGAUGUGGGAAGGCACAGACAGCCAGGAUGUUGGCUUAGAAGCAGCCAUCAUUUAAAGAAAGCGUAAUAGCUCACUGGUCGAGUCGGCCUGCGCGGAAGAUGUAACGGGGCUAAACCAUGCACCGAAGCUGCGGCAGCGACGCUUAUGCGUUGUUGGGUAGGGGAGCGUUCUGUAAGCCGUUGAAGGUGGCCUGUGAGGGUUGCUGGAGGUAUCAGAAGUGCGAAUGCUGACAUAAGUAACGAUAAAGCGGGUGAAAAGCCCGCUCGCCGGAAGACCAAGGGUUCCUGUCCAACGUUAAUCGGGGCAGGGUGAGUCGACCCCUAAGGCGAGGCCGAAAGGCGUAGUCGAUGGGAAACAGGUUAAUAUUCCUGUACUUGGUGUUACUGCGAAGGGGGGACGGAGAAGGCUAUGUUAGCCGGGCGACGGUUGUCCCGGUUUAAGCAUGUAGGCGGAGGUUCCAGGUAAAUCCGGUACCUUUUAACGCUGAGGUGUGAUGACGAGGCACUACGGUGCUGAAGUAACAAAUGCCCUGCUUCCAGGAAAAGCCUCUAAGCAUCAGGUAACAUCAAAUCGUACCCCAAACCGACACAGGUGGUCAGGUAGAGAAUACCAAGGCGCUUGAGAGAACUCGGGUGAAGGAACUAGGCAAAAUGGUGCCGUAACUUCGGGAGAAGGCACGCUGAUAUGUAGGUGAAGCCCCUGCGGGUGGAGCUGAAAUCAGUCGAAGAUACCAGCUGGCUGCAACUGUUUAUUAAAAACACAGCACUGUGCAAACACGAAAGUGGACGUAUACGGUGUGACGCCUGCCCGGUGCCGGAAGGUUAAUUGAUGGGGUUAGCGGCAACGCGAAGCUCUUGAUCGAAGCCCCGGUAAACGGCGGCCGUAACUAUAACGGUCCUAAGGUAGCGAAAUUCCUUGUCGGGUAAGUUCCGACCUGCACGAAUGGCGUAAUGAUGGCCAGGCUGUCUCCACCCGAGACUCAGUGAAAUUGAACUCGCUGUGAAGAUGCAGUGUACCCGCGGCAAGACGGAAAGACCCCGUGAACCUUUACUAUAGCUUGACACUGAACACUGGUCCUUGAUGUGUAGGAUAGGUGGGAGGCUUUGAAGCGUGGACGCCAGUCUGCGUGGAGCCAACCUUGAAAUACCACCCUUUAAUGGCUGGUGUUCUAACGUAGACCCGUGAUCCGGGUUGCGGACAGUGUCUGGUGGGUAGUUUGACUGGGGCGGUCUCCUCCCAAAGAGUAACGGAGGAGCACGAAGGUUAGCUAAUCCUGGUCGGACAUCAGGAGGUUAGUGCAAUGGCAUAAGCUAGCUUGACUGCGAGAGUGACGGCUCGAGCAGGUGCGAAAGCAGGUCAUAGUGAUCCGGUGGUUCUGAAUGGAAGGGCCAUCGCUCAACGGAUAAAAGGUACUCCGGGGAUAACAGGCUGAUACCGCCCAAGAGUUCAUAUCGACGGCGGUGUUUGGCACCUCGAUGUCGGCUCAUCACAUCCUGGGGCUGAAGUAGGUCCCAAGGGUAUGGCUGUUCGCCAUUUAAAGUGGUACGCGAGCUGGGUUUAGAACGUCGUGAGACAGUUCGGUCCCUAUCUGCCGUGGGCGCUGGAGAAUUGAGGGGGGCUGCUCCUAGUACGAGAGGACCGGAGUGGACGCAUCACUGGUGUUCGGGUUGUCAUGCCAAUGGCACUGCCCGGUAGCUAAAUGCGGAAGAGAUAAGUGCUGAAAGCAUCUAAGCACGAAACUUGCCCCGAGAUGAGUUCUCCCUGAGACUUUAAGUCUCCUGAAGGAACGUUGAAGACGACGACGUUGAUAGGUCGGGUGUGUAAGCGCAGCGAUGCGUUGAGCUAACCGAUACUAAUGAACCGUGAGGCUUAACCUU